rnacentral:rRNA from 1 species
CCUACGGGAGGCAGCAGUGAGGAAUAUUGGUCAAUGGACGCAAGUCUGAACCAGCCAUGCCGCGUGCAGGAAGACGGCUCUAUGAGUUGUAAACUGCUUUUGUACGAGGGUAAACGCAGAUACGCGUAUCUGUCUGAAAGUAUCGUACGAAUAAGGAUCGGCUAACUCCGUGCCAGCAGCCGCGGUAAUACGGAGGAUUCAAGCGUUAUCCGGAGUGACUGGGUGUAAAGAGUUGCGUAGGUGGCAUAAUAAGUAGCUAGUGAAAUCUGGUGGCUCAACCAUUCAGACUAUUAGCUAAACUGUUAAGCUCGAGACCGUUAGGGGUAACUGGAAUUUCUAGUGUAGGAGUGAAAUCCGUAGAUAUUAGAAAGAACACCGAUGGCGUAGGCAGGUUACUGGGACGGUUCUGACACUAAGGCACGAAAGCGUAGGGAGCAAACGGGAUUAGAUACCCGAGUAGUC